CAGAGAACAUCAAAAAGCACUCCUUCUGGAAUAGGAUUCAUUGUGGUGAGGUUAUUGGACGUGAGGAUAAGAACAUAAGUAAUUGGGAGAAUUCAGCUCUGGAAACUGAGAGUAGGGAACCUGAGAAAGCAACAGUUUAGGAAGUCUUUUAGAGCAGGCUGUGC